rnacentral:rRNA from 1 species
GGAGGAAAGUAGGGGAUCGCAAGACCUUGCGCUUUUGGAGCGGCCGAUGUCUGAUUAGCUAGUUGGUGAGGUAAAGGCUUACCAAGGCUUCGAUCAGUAGCUGGUCUGAGAGGACGACCAGCCACACUGGGACUGAGACACGGCCCAGACUCCUACGGGAGGCAGCAGUGGGGAAUUUUGGACAAUGGGGGAAACCCUGAUCCAGCCAUGCCGCGUGAGUGAAGAAGGCCUUCGGGUUGUAAAGCUCUUUCAGCCGGAACGAAACGGUCACGGCUAAUACCUGUGAUCACUGACGGUACCGGAAGAAGAAGCACCGGCUAACUACGUGCCAGCAGCCGCGGUAAUACGUAGGGUGCGAGCGUUAAUCGGAAUUACUGGGCGUAAAGCGUGCGCAGGCGGUUUUGUAAGUCAGAUGUGAAAUCCCCGGGCUUAACCUGGGAACUGCGUUUGAAACUACAAAGCUAG